AUUCGUACUGCUUUUGCUUUCGUUUCGGUUACGUGUAAACCCUUCUGUAGUGCGUGGAAUAAUGGUAUUCGACUUUAAUCGACUGUUGCUGUGUGGAGUGUAAUUGUGGUUGGUGGUUUAAUCGAAGGAACUGACAAGAGGCCAGUAGGAGUUUGAGACUACCCGGUUUCAGCUACAGCCCUAAAUUCAGCAUUCUGAUACAGGUGGUAGAGAAGAUAGGAAUAAAUGUUAAAACCCUACUGGGCUUGGGCUUUUUUGAAUGCUUCAGUUUUCGAAUAGCAAAUCCUAUAAGCAAGGACGUCACCAGCGUAAAGUCUUCAGUGGAGCGAUGAUUUGCAGUAGAAGCUAUGAGGCCCAAGAACAUUGAAGUCCUUAGGUGCUUAUUUGUUGAUCUUUUGUGAAGUGUUUUAAAGUAUCAGGAUAAAUCUGUUAAUCUUCAAUAGUUCACAACUUUUAAAAGUUCAUUAGGCCCUUAUUUAAUACUAUGAAGGGUAUUUCUACGACAUCCACUAGGGAUUGGGGCGUCCAAUGUAUUUCGCCAUGUUUAGCACUGGCCUCUGUGGGGUUAAUUACAGUCGUCCGAAUAAAUCUUACUUAAAAUUCUUGUUCUGUAGGUAAAACUCCAUAGAAAAACCGCAACUGCCAUAGUGUUGGACGCCGCGGAUAAAUACCCUAGAUCUACCCUAUGAAGUAAUGUUUCAAGUUUUAUCAGAAUCAGAAUUUUCAGUAUUUCAGAACUUAUCAAAGUUUUCAGUGAACAAUAAAUCUGAAUUUUUUGUGUGUAGUUUUAGAAUUGAGAUUGUUGGAAUUUUGAGAUUGUGUAAAAUU